rnacentral:rRNA from 1 species
ACAGGUGGUGCAUGGCUGUCGUCAGCUCGUGUCGUGAGAUGUUGGGUUAAGUCCCGCAACGAGCGCAACCCUCGUCCUUAGUUGCCAUCAGUUCGGCUGGGCACUCUAGGGAAACUGCCGGUGAUAAGCCGGAGGAAGGCGGGGAUGACGUCAAGUCCUCAUGGCCCCUAUGGGCUGGGCUACACACGUGCUACAAUGGCGGUGACAGUGGGAAGCAAGACCGCGAGGUGGAGCUAAUCCCCAAAAACCGUCUCAGUUCGGAUUGUACUCUGCAACUCGAGUGCAUGAAGUGGAAUCGCUAGU